rnacentral:rRNA from 1 species
UACGUAGGUGGCAAGCGUUGUCCGGAUUUAUUGGGUUUAAAGGGCGCGUAGGUGGCGCGGGAAGUCAACGGUGAAAGUUCAGGGCUCAACCCUGAAUCGGCCGUCGAUACUCCCGGGCUCGAGCACUGUAGAGGCAGGUGGAAUUCCGGGUGUAGCGGUGGAAUGCGUAGAGAUCCGGAAGAACACCGGUGGCGAAGGCGGCCUGCUGGGCAGUAGCUGACACUGAUGCGCGACAGCGUGGGGAGCAAACAGG